UGGGGAAUUGUUCGCAAUGGGCGCAAGCCUGACGACGCAACGCCGCGUGGAGGAUGAAGACCUUCGGGUCGUAAACUCCUUUCGAUCGAGACGAAUGGCCUCCGGGUGAACAAUCCGGAGGAGUGACGGUACCGAGAGAAGAAGCCCCGGCUAACUCCGUGCCAGCAGCCGCGGUAAUACGGGGGGGGCAAGCGUUGUUCGGAAUUACUGGGCGUAAAGGGCUCGUAGGCGGCCAACUAAGUCAGACGUGAAAUCCCUCGGCUUAACCGGGGAACUGCGUCUGAUACUGGAUGGCUUGAGAUCGGGAGAGGGAUGCGGAAUUCCAGGUGUAGCGGUGAAAUGCGUAGAUAUCUGGAGGAACACCGGUGGCGAAGGCGGCAUCCUGGACCGACACUGACGCUGAGGAGCGAAAGCCAGGGGAGCAAACGGGAUUAGAUACCCCGGUAGUCCUGGCCCUAAACGAUGAAUGCUUGGUGUGGCGGGUAUCGAUCCCUGCCGUGCCGAAGCUAACGCAUUAAGCAUUCCGCCUGGGGAGUACGGUCGCAAGGCUG
rnacentral:rRNA from 1 species